ACAGUACUCCUUCCGUCCGGAAUUACUUGUCACACAAAUAGAUAAAAUUAGAUGUAUCUAGAACUAAAAUAUAUCUAGAUACAUUCAUUGCUUCGACAAGUAUUUCCGGAAGGAGGGAGUAGUAU
rfam:Triticum aestivum genome assembly, contig: Triticum_aestivum_CS42_TGACv1_scaffold_577132_7BL